UGAGCCCUAGUGUCCCCAGUUUGGGAGGUAGCAGUGGUGGUGACA
rnacentral:miRNA from 1 species